rnacentral:tRNA from 1 species
ACCAGCAUGGUGUAGUGGUUUGAACAUUGGACUACGACUCUAGAGAUCAGGGUUUGAUUCCCUGCUUGGC